UUAUAUCUGUUAGAUUAGUAUUAAUUGAAAUUUAAAGAUUUUGGCGGUUAAUUAUAAAUUAGAGGAGCUUGUUUUUAUAGAAUUAACUCUUUGUAUCUUAUAAUUAUUUUGUUUAUUUAUCUCCGUUAUUAGAAGUAAGAGUUUGAGAAAAAUGAUUUUUUUAUUUCAGGUCAAGAUGUAGCAAUUAAUUUAUAUAAUUAGCUACAAUUAUAAAGUAGAUGAAUUUAUUUAGGAAAUUUGUAAUGAAAUUGAAUUUAAUUGUAAUAUUAUUUAGAAUGAUAUUAUGAAUUAGUGUAAUUA
rnacentral:rRNA from 1 species